rnacentral:rRNA from 1 species
GCCCAGACUCCUACGGGAGGCAGCAGUGGGGAAUAUUGCACAAUGGGGGGAACCCUGAUGCAGCGACGCCGCGUGGGUGAAGGAGCACCUCGGUGCGUAAAGCCCUAUCGGCAGGGAAGAAAAGCGAACAGGUUCGCCUGGACGGUACCUGUUUAGAAAGCUCCGGCUAACUACGUGCCAGCAGCCGCGGUAAUACGUAGGGAGCAAGCGUUGUCGGGAAUUACUGGGCGUAAAGGGCGCGUAGGUGGGCGCUUAAGUCAGGUGUGAAAACUCCGGGCUCAACCUGGAGACUGCACUUGAAACUGGGUGUCUUGAGGGCAGGAGGGGAAAGUGGAAUUCCUAGUGUAGCGGUGAAAUGCGUAGAUAUUAGGAGGAACACCAGUGGCGAAGGCGACUUUCUGGACUGUACCUGACGCUGAGGCGCGAAAGCGUGGGUAGCGAACGGGAUUAGAUACCCCUGUA